CUAAGAUUGGAUCUUGAUGCAGGUGCAUGUUGGUCCAAGCAUGGAGAAGAUUCUGGUACGAUCUUGUAAAAUCCGCCAAAUCUCGUGUGCAGAUCCAAAUCGAGUGGUUCAAAGUUCUGCAGAUAGAUCAAGAUCUGGUCAGAUCUGACUUUGUCGAAUUAAAUCAGGAGCUUGGG